AUGGCUAGACAUGCCUUUAGGAAGUUUCUUCUACUCUUUGACAGAGUGUUGGUUAAAAGAAGUGCUGCCGAAAUUGUAACCAAAGGUGGAGUUAUGCUUCUAGAAAAGUCUCAAGGAAAAAUGUUGCAAGCAACGGUUGUGGUUUUGGAAUCAGGAACAGAAAGGGUGGAGAAAUUUAGCCUGUAAGUGUGAAGUUGGGGACAAAGUCCCAGAUUAUGGAGGCACCAAAAUAGUAGUAGAAGACAAGGAUUAUUUCUUAUUUAGAGAUGGUAACAUUCUUGGAAAGCACGUGGACUGA
rnacentral:lncRNA from 1 species